rnacentral:rRNA from 1 species
AGAGUUUGAUCAUGGCUCAGGAUGAACGCUGGCGGCGUGCCUCAUGCAUGCAAGUCGAACGGGGAAACUUUGAGUAGCAAUACUUAGGGUUUUCUAGUGGCGAUCGGGUGAGUAACACGUAGGUGACCUGCCCCGAAGAGGGGGAUAACGACCCGAAAGGGUUGCUAAUACCCCAUGUGAUUGGUAAUUCAUUUUGCCAAUUAAAGCUUCCGCAAGGAGUGUGCUUUGGGAGGGGCCUGCGGCGGAUUAGAUUGUUGGUGGGGUAAUGGCCUACCAAGUCGAUGAUCCGUAGCUAGUCUGAGAGGACGAUUAGCCACACUGGCACUGACACACGGGCCAGACUCCUACGGGAGGCAGCAGCAGGGAAUAUUGCACAAUGGGCGAAAGCCUGAUGCAGCAACGCCGCGUGAGGGAUGAAGGUCUUCGGAUUGUAGACCUCUUUUACAGGGGACGAGAGAGGACGGUACCCU